CGGAGGAGGAGGAGGAGCGUCAGCGGCACCGGGACCGGUCCGCGGGGCGCACAAGGCGGCGGCACUCGGCCCAGCUCCGGCACAUCGCGCUGCUGAGACCGGAGGCUGUGAGCCUGUGCUGCCUCGACAUCACAACGUUUGACUCCACCUGAAGUCAUGGACGAGCGACGGCUGUUUUCAUUUGUUCCUGCGCUCCGACGCUGCGCAAAAAGUGGCGACUUUCUAUGGGUGAGGAGGCUGCAAAGUUUCCAGACUGAGCUUCGAACCAGAGCUGCUGUUUCAGUGAAAUGAAGCGCCUCCGGCCGGAUUGAAGCCCCGCCGGGGUCCUCGGGGUCCGGCUGCUCCUGUCGCUCCCAGCGGCCUGUUCCACACGGCCUGGUCAGCGUCGAACAAACACCGCAGCAGCCGAGAGAGGAAUUCUGUCAUUACAACGGCUCACCAGAAUGGAUUGACUGUAUCCCGAUGUUUAGUGGAGGACUGGUUCGCACUGUACAGCAGCUGUUGUCACGUUCAUGCCAUGGGUUUUCCUUUUUUGUCUUUUCAUUGAACGUGUUAUUAGAUUUGAUGAUAUGAGCUGUUUUUAGACCAAUCCAAGACAUAUGACCAAGAAAGGAUUUUUAUAUUUUAUUUCAUUUUUUCAUUUUUAUAUAACCAGGGCUUUCCUGUCAUUGAGUCAAACUCAACACUGUAUGACCUCCGUGGUGGAGGAAAUAAAAGAUUCUGUUUUGUCUUAGAGCUCA